GCCAGGUGUGGGUGGCACACACCUGUAAUCCCAGCAACUUGGGAGGCUAAAGCAGGAGGAUCUCAAGUUUGAAGCUAGCUUGAGCAAUUUAGCAAGAUCCUAUCU
rnacentral:sRNA from 1 species